UGCUCUCUGUGGGGCUAUGAGGUGAGGCGCUUCAAUGUUUCCCGCGGGCAGCGCCCUCUGGUGACAAAGUCGAGAACCAGACUCGCUUGUAUGUAGAGAUGAUGGGAGCAAGAAAGUUCCGUGGAGAAUAGAGACUAGGCUAUAAGACAUCCACACCGACGAUGAAUGAAGUCCUAAAAUGAUCACCCU
rnacentral:lncRNA from 1 species